UAGUUUAAAUUUAGCCUUAUUUAAAAUUAAUUUUCAAUGAACAGAAGGAGUGCAUUUUGAAGAUCAGCGCAUGAUGUUUUAUUCUUUCUUACGGAAUAAAACCAUUUUAAAGAAAGAUAUGCUUUUGAAGAAACAAGGCUACAUCUUUUUUUGAAAUGAAUGAGUCCUCAUCAUUUGAAAUUAACAAAAAUGUGAAUCUUUCCCUUCCAAGCAAAGAAAGUAUUAAUUUCAGUGUCAUGUUUUUGGUAAAAAAUAACGCAUCUAUUACUGCUUACUGUUACUGCAUAUAUUUACUGUUGUUUCAAAGUAUAGCCUUUUAUGCAAAUCGGCUCACUUUACAAACCGAGAGGGCAGAAAACCUUCAUAAAUUUUAUUGUGUUCGCUUUAGUAUCAAAUUUAACGUCUAGAACCUGUGUUGGCAACUACUCCGGUAAAAGAAAAAAAGGAGAAGAAAACAGUUAAUUGAUUCGAGCUUUUUUGUUAACAGAGAGAAAACCAGAUGAUAACCCGUAGAAUUAGCAUUUUUUAUUUAGAACUUUAACUUGAACCUGAUUUUUGGGAACUUUUGAAUCGGCUGUAAUAGAAUAUUCUUGAUUAAAGGAUUAGCCUUUUAAUCUAAAAAUAUAAAUAAUAUUAUGUUAAUACAAAACUAAGAAAAGCUAGUCAUGUUUAUGAUUAUUUCUACGUGAUGAAUGAUUUAUUAAAGAAGACGUUAGGUUUUUCCUAGCAGCUCUCUGGAGUAUAAUACAGCAUCAAGAAAAUAAUCAAAGAGGCAAGAUAAAGAUUAAAAUGAAAGUAUCAUGGAAGAACACAGCAUAUAACAUGGCUAGAAAAAGAAGUCAGAUGAAAAUCUUGGUACAGGUCAAUCGCCAUUGAAAAGUGAUAGAAAUUUCAGAUUACUAUCAAGCUUAUUGUUAUUAAGUAUGCUUAAUACUCAAGUUUUUCUAUGCAAAAACGUGCUGAUUAUCUGAUGAUUAUGAAAACUUUCCCUGAGGAUCACAGCAAAAUUAAAAGUAAUCGAUUAAUUUUAAAAAGGCAUUUGGAAUAUUUUGUUGAAUUAGCAAAUUUUUUAUUGCUUUGUUAAAACUUUUGGUUAUUAAAUCUUAUUCUCUGAUUAAAGCCAUUUUGAAAUAUUAUGUAAGUUUUCAGUUUUA